AGAAAAAGUGUUAUGUCUGCCUCGAAUACAGAUAUUCCUAUUUAUAUGAAAAUAAAUAACAGGGAACUUAACCUUCUACUCGUCAUAAUCUACUGAGUACAUCCAUUGCCAGGGAAUUGUACAGCACAUUUUAUGGUGUUUCAGCUUUGAAGCUAUGGGACAAUAAUAACACGAAGGCUGGCCACUUUGUUUCAUGCCUCCUUGACCCGUGUGUUCCAUCAAUUGAGAGACAGAUGCAUGGAAAUCACAGAUGAAGAUGAAAAUACCACCUUCACGGCCAGUCAAGUGUUAAAGAAUGUGAUUUAGAUGCAGCCAACGGUACCUACAAUUACACUCCAACAAAAUGGAACUCACUUCAAACUAAGAGCCCAUUCCAUGGAGGAGAGGAGAAUGAGAAUGUAGAACAGUCAGACAAAGGUAGAGAAAGGAAGAAUCCCAGCCAAUUCUUGAAGCUUAGCUUUAAAUCCAGUUUGUUCCUAAACACUCAGCAACCAGGAGUCUGACUAAUCUUCAGGAGGGGAAGAAUAAGUGCAGAAACUGGUGGUUUUACUUUACUUACCUUGAAAACAGGCCCAAAAUUGGGAAGGGGAAUUACAAGGGGAAAAAUUAUUCCCUGUUAAUAUUUUUCAUUUUACUGUCACAAUAUUAAGAGAUGUUUGUUGGAGGAAAAAAGUUGUAUU
rnacentral:lncRNA from 1 species